UGACACCCAGACCAGAACAUGCCUCCCUC
rnacentral:piRNA from 1 species